rnacentral:misc_RNA from 1 species
AGCGGUGUUGGCUGCUUCGCGGGUAAACCCGCUCCUACAGAGCGGGUUUACCCGCGAAGCAGCCAACACCGCU